rfam:Myotis brandtii contig180887, whole genome shotgun sequence.
GGUGGUUCUCAGAUGACGCACCCCAGAAACAGGCUCCCUCCUCUCUGGUUCCAGGUGCGUCACCCAAGAACCACA